rnacentral:rRNA from 1 species
GACGAACGCUGGCGGCGUGCCUAAUACAUGCAAGUAGAACGCACAGUUUAUACCGUAGCUUGCUACACCAUAAACUGUGAGUUGCGAACGGGUGAGUAACGCGUAGGUAACCUGCCUGGUAGCGGGGGAUAACUAUUGGAAACGAUAGCUAAUACCGCAUAAUAUUGAUUAUUGCAUGAUAAUUGAUUGAAAGAUGCUAUUGCAUCACUACCAGAUGGACCUGCGUUGUAUUAGCUAGUAGGUGAGGUAACGGCUCACCUAGGCGACGAUACAUAGCCGACCUGAGAGGGUGAUCGGCCACACUGGGACUGAGACACGGCCCAGACUCCUACGGGAGGCAGCAGUAGGGAAUCUUCGGCAAUGGACAAAAGUCUGACCGAGCAACGCCGCGUGAGUGAAGAAGGUUUUCGGAUCGUAAAGCUCUGUUGUAAGAGAAGAACGGGUGUGAGAGGGAAAGUUCACA